AGUUCUCUCCUGUGAUCCUCUGACACCCUACCCAAUGCCCUGCACACAGCAGCUCCAUAAAUGGAUGCUCACCAACUAAUUAGCCUAUGGGAUCUGGGCCAAAACAAAACGAGGAAGGUCAGAUGGUUUCUGAAGGUCACCUACUUCUUGUGAAAGAACUUGGGCUUACCCUUGCCUGGACUAGUCCAUGAUACCUCGGAUUUGGGGCUUCCUACUGUGUGCAGCGCUGAUAAUUUAAAACCACUGAUGCUCAUUCAUUUAUUCACCCAAAAGACAUUUGCUGUGUGCCUUUGGCACUCCAGGCCCUGGGCUCACUCUGGCUCUGGGUUGGCAGGAUACAGGUUCUGGCCUCAGGUAUUCGAGUCUGAAGACGUCUGCCCGGUUCCCAGCUGUGGCUUUGUAACGGUAGCCACCUGUCUCAUGAUGCCACACACUCAGGGCUCCUCCUGCAUGGAAUACACUGGGUUUGUCAGAGCAGGUUUUACUGAUUUCACUAGACAGAUGAGGAAGCCAAGCCUUCAAACAGGGAGGUGAUACAUCCAAAGCCAGACUUGGUGGCCGAGGCCAGCUGUGCCUCACACACGUUCAGCUUUUGCCUGGGGCGCCUUCUCCAUGCCUCUGUCUGUCCCUGACCUGGGGAGCUUUCCCCUCUGAGGCUGGCUUUGCCUUCUUCUCGAAAGUCUUUUGAUUGUGGGAAAAUACCAUAACAAAAUUUGCUAUCUCACCCAUCUUUAAGGGUACAGUUCCACGGGAAUAAAGCGCACAGAUAUUGUUGUGCAACCCUCACUA